GACGAACGCUGGCGGCGUGCUUAACACAUGCAAGUCGAACGGAAAGGCCCUGCUUUUGUGGGGUGCUCGAGUGGCGAACGGGUGAGUAACACGUGAGUAACCUGCCCUUGACUUUGGGAUAACUUCAGGAAACUGGGGCUAAUACCGGAUAGGAGCUCCUGCUGCAUGGUGGGGGUUGGAAAGUUUCGGCGGUUGGGGAUGGACUCGCGGCUUAUCAGCUUGUUGGUGGGGUAGUGGCUUACCAAGGCUUUGACGGGUAGCCGGCCUGAGAGGGUGACCGGCCACAUUGGGACUGAGAUACGGCCCAGACUCCUACGGGAGGCAGCAGUGGGGAAUAUUGCACAAUGGGCGGAAGCCUGAUGCAGCAACGCCGCGUGCGGGAUGACGGCCUUCGGGUUGUAAACCGCUUUCGCCUGUGACGAAGCGUGAGUGACGGUAAUGGGUAAAGAAGCACCGGCUAACUACGUGCCAGCAGCCGCGGUGAUACGUAGGGUGCGAGCGUUGUCCGGAUUUAUUGGGCGUAAAGGGCUCGUAGGUGGUUGAUCGCGUCGGAAGUGUAAUCUUGGGGCUUAACCCUGAGCGUGCUUUCGAUACGGGUUGACUUGAGGAAGGUAGGGGAGAAUGGAAUUCCUGGUGGAGCGGUGGAAUGCGCAGAUAUCAGGAGGAACACCAGUGGCGAAGGCGGUUCUCUGGGCCUUUCCUGACGCUGAGGAGCGAAAGCGUGGGGAGCGAACAGGCUUAGAUACCCUGGUAGUCCACGCUGUAAACGGUGGGUACUAGGUGUGGGGUCCAUUCCACGGGUUCCGUGCCGUAGCUAACGCUUUAAGUACCCCGCCUGGGGAGUACGGCCGCAAGGCUAAAACUCAAAGGAAUUGACGGGGCCCCGCACAAGCGGCGGAGCAUGCGGAUUAAUUCGAUGCAACGCGUAGAACCUUACCUGGGUUUGACAUGGAUCGGGAGUGCUCAGAGAUGGGUGUGCCUCUUUUGGGGUCGGUUCACAGGUGGUGCAUGCCUGUCGUCAGCUCGUGUCGUGAGAUGUUGGGUUAAGUCCCGCAACGAGCGCAACCCUUGUUCACUGUUGCCAGCACGUUAUGGUGGGGACUCAGUGGAGACCGCCGGGGUCAACUCGGAGGAAGGUGGGGAUGACGUCAAGUCCUCAUGCCCCUUAUGUCCAGGGCUUCACGCAUGCUACAAUGGCUGGUACAGAGAGUGGCGAGCCUGUGAGGGUGAGCGAAUCUCGGAAAGCCGGUCUCAGUUCGGAUUGGGGUCUGCAACUCGACCUCAUGAAGUCGGAGUCGCUAGUAAUCGCAGAUCAGCAACGCUGCGGUGAAUACGUUCCCGGGGCUUGUACACACCGCCCGUCAAGUCAUGAAAGUUGGUAACACCCGAAGCCGGUGGCCUAACCGUUGUGGGGGAGCCGUCGAAGGUGGGACUGGU
rnacentral:rRNA from 1 species